rnacentral:rRNA from 1 species
UGUUGGGUUAAAUUUUGUAAUGAGUGUAAUUUUUAUUUUUUGUUGUUAGUGGUUAGGUUGGGAAUUUAAAGGAGAUUGUUAGUGAUAAAUUGGAGGAAGGUGGGGAUGAUGUUAAGUUAUUAUGGUUUUUAUGAUCAGGGUUAUAUAUGUGUUAUAAUGGUAUAUAUAAAGAGAAGUGAUUUUGUGAGAGUAAGUGGAUUUUAUAAAGUAUGUUGUAGUUUGGAUUGGAGUUUGUAAUUUGAUUUUAUGAAGUUGGAAUUGUUAGUAAUUGUAGAUUAGAAUGUUAUGGUGAAUAUGUUUUUGGGUUUUGUA